GAUGAACGCUGGCGGCGUGCCUAAUACAUGCAAGUCGAGCGAACGGACGAGAAGCUUGCUUCUCUGAUGUUAGCGGCGGACGGGUGAGUAACACGUGGAUAACCUACCUAUAAGACUGGGAUAACUUCGGGAAACCGGAGCUAAUACCGGAUAAUAUUUUGAACCGCAUGGUUCAAAAGUGAAAGACGGUCUUGCUGUCACUUAUAGAUGGAUCCGCGCUGCAUUAGCUAGUUGGUAAGGUAACGGCUUACCAAGGCAACGAUGCAUAGCCGACCUGAGAGGGUGAUCGGCCACACUGGACCUGAGACACGGUCCAGACUCCUACGGGAGGCAGCAGUAGGGAAUCUUCCGCAAUGGGCGAAAGCCUGACGGAGCAACGCCGCGUGAGUGAUGAAGGUCUUCGGAUCGUAAUACUCUGUUAUUAGGGAAGAACAUAUGUGUAAGUAACUGUGCACAUCUUGACGGUACCUAAGCAGAAAGCCACGGCUAACUACGU
rnacentral:rRNA from 1 species